UGAUUGAAUAAAGGUCUUAUUUCUUCAUUGAAGUUUCCUGUAAAAUAGUGUUAAAAUCUCAUCUUGUUUCGAACUCGUGAACCUAAUCUCUUGUCUUGUCCCGU